AACGAACGCUGGCGGCGUGCCUAACACAUGCAAGUCGAACGAGAAAGGGGCUUCGGCUCCGAGUAAAGUGGCGCACGGGUGAGUAACACGUAGGUAACCUGCCUCUAAGAUUGGGAUUACCUGUCGAAAGACGAGCUAAUACCAAAUAAGACCACAGUCUCUUCGGGGACAGGGGUCAAAGAUAGCCUCUAUUUAUAAGCUAUCGCUGAGAGAUGGGCCUGCGUACCAUUAGCUAGUUGGGGAGGUAACGGCUAACCAAGGCAAAGAUGGUUAGCUGGUCUGAGAGGAUGAUCAGCCACACUGGAACUGAGACACGGUCCAGACUCCUACGGGAGGCAGCAGUGGGGAAUAUUGCGCAAUGGGCGAAAGCCUGACGCAGCAACGCCGCGUGAGUGAUGAAGGCCUUCGGGUCGUAAAGCUCUGUCGGAGGGAACGAAUGCUCCUGAGGUUAACAGCCUCGGGAUGUGACGGUACCCUCAAAGGAAGCACCGGCUAACUCUGUGCCAGCCGCCGCGGUAAGAC
rnacentral:rRNA from 1 species